UUUAGUGGGGAAUAACUGUUGGAAACGACAGCUAAUACCGCAUAAUAUUGCUGGAUAAUUUCCAGUAAUGAAAGGAGCUUUCAAGCUCCGCUGAUUGAUGAGGAUGCGGCGCAUUAGCUAGUUGGUAGGGUAAUGGCCUACCAAGGCAAUGAUGCGUAGCCGAUCUGAGAGGAUGAACGGCCACAUUGGGACUGAGACACGGCCCAAACUUCUACGGAAGGCAGCAGUAGGGAAUUUUUCACAAUGGGCGAAAGCCUGAUGGAGCAAUGCCGCGUGACUGAUGAAGGUCUUCGGAUUGUAAAGGUCUGUUGUAAGGGAAGAAAUGGUAAAACAGGAAAUGGUUUUAUCUAUGACGGUACCUUACCAGAAAGCCACGGCUAACUAUGUGCCAGCAGCCGCGGUAAUACAUAGGUGGCAAGCGUUAUCCGGAUUUAUUGGGCGUAAAGGGUGCGUAGACGGUUUUGCAAGUCUGANGUUAAAUUUAGGAGCUCAACUCCUAAUCGCCUUGGAAACUACAAGACUAGAGUAUAGGAGAGGUUAGUGGAAUUCCAUGUGUAGCGGUGGAAUGUGUAGAUAUAUGGAGGAACACCAGUGGC
rnacentral:rRNA from 1 species